CCUAGUGAAACAAAGCAUACUUGCAGGCAGUCCAACACAAACAUCAUCUUGGAGCCAACCAAAAAAUGCAACUAAAAUGUUGGGAACUAUGGGGAGAGACACAGAAUAAAACAGAUGCUGUUGCUGUGCCAUUUUACAAAUACGUAGUCCAUCAUCAGUUUGACUAUUGUGGGUAGCUUUUGUAAGAUUAGAAUGGCAAUUUUAGGUAGAGCAAACUCCAGCGUAGUUAAGAAAAGCAGCCUGUGACAGGGAUCAGUAGCAGAUGUGUAAGAACCUCUGAGGGUAAGUAUAGAAUGAUGAUCCCUGAUAUAGUGCCCCAGCUUUGCACCUCUCCAACUUGUGGACUUCCAGAGCCAGAGAUAGUGUCUUUGUAAUUAGUAUAUCUUGCUAGAUCGUUCUUCAGUGAACUUUUCUGAUGCUUUUUUUAACUGAUUAGGUUAUAUUUCUGGCAUACAAAUGUUCUGUGGCAAAACGUUCCAUUACUUCAUUAACCUUUGUGAAGGAGCUAUCUCCUUUGAACUUGUCAUUUCGUAAUCUUAUUUGAUGUCUCCAAUUUUUGCAUUCUGAGAAGCCAUGAGUAAUUGUUCCUUAUUCAUCGGUUUUAUCCCACUUACUACUUUAUUACCUCUUAACAACUGUAUGAAUGUGAUCUCUCACUACAAAAAGUCAUAGUCACCCUGUCUCAAAAAAAGAAACCUUGAACAUGUGGAGAAGUGCAAGGAGACAACCAGAAGUAUGACAUUAAGAGGAGUAAUUUAAAAGACCAGAAGUAUUGAGCUUGUAAAAGAGUGUUUCAGUUGAGAAAGGGGCUCAGGUAUGAUGAGUCUAGCUCUUGAGUGGAAUGAAGCAUAAGGAUGCGUACCAAGCAAUCUUGGAUGGUGUGAAAGGAGGUGCCAAGGAGAAGAGACUUGCAGCCCAAUUUAUUCCGAAGUUCUUCAAGCAUUUUCCUGAGCUAGCUGACUCAGCUAUCAAUGCCCAGUUGGACCUCUGUGAGGAUGAAGAUGUUUCUAUCCGGCGACAAGCAAUCAAGGAAUUGCCUCAGUUUGCCACUGGAGAUAAUCUUCCUCGGGUAGCAGACAUACUGACCCAGCUUCUACAGUCAGAUGAUUCUGCAGAAUUCAAUUUGGUGAACAAUGCUUUGCUCAGUAUAUUUAAGAUGGAUGCUAAAGGGACUUUGGGAGGCUUAUUCAGUCAGAUUCUUCAGGGAGAGGAUAUUGUGAGAGAGCGAGCCAUCAAGUUCCUUUCUACAAAACUGAAAACUCUGCCUGAGGAGGUGAUGACAAAGGAGGUAGAAGAGUUCAUAUUGACUGAAUCAAAGAAGGUGCUGGAAGAUGUGACAGGCGAGGAAUUUGUUCUGUUCAUGAAAAUAUUGUCUGGAUUAAAAAGCUUACAGACAGUAAGUGGGAGGCAGCAGCUAGUGGAGCUGGUAGCCGAACAAGCUGACCUGGAACAAACGUUCAAUCCAUCUGAUCCAGAUUGUGUGGACAGACUUCUACAGUGUACUCGGCAGGCAGUGCCGCUCUUCUCAAAAAACGUUCAUUCCACAAAAUUUGUUACUUACUUCUGUGAGCAUGUUCUGCCAAACCUCAGUUCUUUGACUACUCCAGUAGAGGGUCUUGAUAUCCAGUUAGAGGUUUUGAAGCUUCUUGCUGAAAUGAGUUCAUUUUGUGGCGAUAUGGAAAAGCUUGAAUCAAAUUUGAAGAAGCUGUUUGAUAAAUUACUGGAGUAUAUGCCUCUUCCUCCGGAGGAAGCAGAGAAUGGGGAAAAUGCCGGCAAUGAAGAGCCCAAGUUGCAAUUCAGUUAUGUGGAGUGUUUAUUGUAUAGCUUCCACCAGCUGGGUCGUAAACUUCCGGACUUCCUCACAGCCAAGCUGAAUGCAGAGAAAUUGAAAGACUUUAAAAUCAGGCUACAGUAUUUUGCUCGAGGGUUGCAGGUGUAUAUUCGACAGCUUCGUCUAGCACUUCAAGGAAAAACAGGAGAAGCCUUGAAAACAGAGGAGAACAAGAUUAAGGUGGUUGCCUUGAAAAUAACCAAUAACAUCAAUGUUUUAAUCAAGGAUCUCUUCCACAUUCCUCCUUCUUACAAAAGUACAGUUACACUGUCCUGGAAACCAGUACAGAAGGCAGAUGCAAGUCAAAAAAGAGCAAGUGAAGAUACAACCUCAAGUUCACCCCCAAAGAAACCUUCGGCAGGACCAAAAAGGGAUGCCAGGCAAAUAUAUAAUCCUCCCAGUGGAAAGUACAGCAGUAACCUGGGUAGUUUUUCUUACGCACUCGCACCCCAAAUGUCCCAUUGGACAGACCAGUUGCUGCAAAUGGCAGAGCUGGGCCACCUGUCAAACAACUGGACCUGUGCUGAAUUCCUAUUACAGCCGCUGCUGAUGUUGCAGACCUGAUCCAGAACAUCUGGGAAUUGCCAGGUUCACUGUGCAUACACACAGUUAUGUCCUCAUGUUCCCAGUCAGAGUGAUUCUCUCUCUGUGCAAGUCGUAAUUCUGGGCAAAGCGCGAGAACAGUUGCAGACUGGAUGAACAGGCCCAACAAUGGCAGCGACCUGUUCUGUUCCCUGUAGGCCCAUUGGUCUUAUCUCUGUCAAGUAAACAGCCUGCUAUGACAAAUUAUUACCUGUGCCCAGCAAAGAGGUGGUUUCCGGGGUGGACGAGGAAGAGGCUGGGGAGGACGUGGCAAUCGUAGCCGAGGAAGAAUCUACUG